rnacentral:rRNA from 1 species
GAUGAACGCUGGCGGCGUGCUUAACACAUGCAAGUCGAACGAGAAGUGAAGACGGAAACCUUCGGGCGGAAGGCUUUAUUUCGAGUGGCGGACGGGUGAGUAACGCGUGGGUAACCUGCCUCAUACAGGGGGAUAACAGUUGGAAACGACUGUUAAUACCGCAUAAGACCACAGCACCGCAUGGUGCGGGGGUAAAAACUCCGGUGGUAUGAGAUGGACCCGCGUUCGAUUAGCCAGUUGGCGGGGUAACGGCCCACCAAAGCGACGAUCGAUAGCCGAUCUGAGGGGAUGACCGGCCACAUUGGAACUGAGGCACGGCCCAAACUCCUACGGGGAGCAGCAGUGGGGAAUAUUGCACAAUGGGGGAAACCCUGAUGCAGCGACGCCGCGUGAGUGAAGAAGUAUGUCGGUAUGUAAAGCUCUAUCAGCAGGGAAGAAAAUGACGGUACCUGAGUAAGAAGCCCCGGCUAACUACGUG